rnacentral:rRNA from 1 species
UGGGGAAUUUUGGACAAUGGGGGCAACCCUGAUCCAGCCAUGCCGCGUGAAGGAUGAAGUAUUUCGGUAUGUAAACUUCGUAAGAAUAGGAAGAAUAAAUGACGGUACUAUUUGUAAGGUCCGGCUAACUACGUGCCAGCAGCCGCGGUAAUACGUAGGGACCAAGCGUUGUUCGGAUUUACUGGGCGUAAAGGGCGCGUAGGCGGUGUGUCAAGUCAGUUGUGAAAUCUCCGAGCUUAACUCGGAACGGUCAACUGAUACUGUCACACUAGAGUACAGAAGGGGCAAUCGGAAUUCUUGGUGUAGCGGUGAAAUGCGUAGAUAUCAAGAGGAACACCUGAGGCGAAGGCGGGUUGCUGGGCUGAUACUGACGCUGAGGCGCGAAAGCUAGGGUAGCAAACGGGAUUAGAUACCCCCGUAGUCCCUGAGCGGGCUGGCAAGGCGCAU